AGGGAAUCUUCCACAAUGGACGCAAGUCUGAUGGAGCAACGCCGCGUGAGUGAAGAAGGUCUUCGGAUCGUAAAGCUCUGUUGUUGGUGAAGAAGGAUAGAGGCAGUAACUGGUCUUUAUUUGACGGUAAUCAACCAGAAAGUCACGGCUAACUACGUGCCAGCAGCCGCGGUAAUACGUAGGUGGCAAGCGUUGUCCGGAUUUAUUGGGCGUAAAGCGAGCGCAGGCGGAAUGAUAAGUCUGAUGUGAAAGCCCACGGCUCAACCGUGGAACUGCAUCGGAAACUGUCAUUCUUGAGUGCAGAAGAGGAGAGUGGAACUCCAUGUGUAGCGGUGGAAUGCGUAGAUAUAUGGAAGAACACCAGUGGCGAAGGCGGCUCUCUGGUCUGCAACUGACGCUGAGGCUCGAAAGCAUGGGUAGCGAACAGGAUUAGAUACCCUGGUAGUCCAUGCCGUAAACGAUGAGCGCUAGGUGUUGGGGACUUUCCGGUCCUCAGUGCCGCAGCAAACGCAUUAAGCGCUCCGCCUGGGGAGUACGACCGCAAGGUUGAAACG
rnacentral:rRNA from 1 species